rnacentral:tRNA from 1 species
GGCUCGGUAGCUUAGUUGGUAAAAUACUCGUCUAGCAUACAAGACUCGUGGGUUCAAAUCCCACCUGAGCAC